GACGAACGCUGGCGGCGUGCCUAACACAUGCAAGUCGAACGGAAAGGCCCUGCUUUUGUGGGGUGCUAGAGUGGCGAACGGGUGAGUAACACGUGAGUAACCUGCCCUUGAGUUUGGGAUAACUUCAGGAAACUGGGGCUAAUACCGGAUAGGAGCUCCUGAUGCAUGGUGGGGGUUGGAAAGUUUCGGCGGUUGUGGAUGGACUCGCGGCUUAUCAGUUUGUUGGUGGGGUAGUGGCUUACCAAGGCUUUGACGGGUAGCCGGCCUGAGAGGGUGACCGGCCACAGGGGGACUGAGAGACGGCCCAGACGCCUACUGGGGGCAGCAGUGGAGAAUAUUGCACAAUGGGCGGAAGCCUGAGGCAGCGACUCCGCGUGCGGAAUGACUGCCUUCGGGUUAUAAACCGCUUUCGCCUGUGACGAAGCGUGAGUGACGGUAAUGGGUAAAGAAGCACCGGCUAACUACGUG
rnacentral:rRNA from 1 species